UACAGAGGGUGCAAGCGUUAAUCGGAAUUACUGGGCGUAAAGGGUGUGUAGGUGGAUACAUAAGUCAAAGGUGAAAUCCCCGGGCUCAACCUGGGAACUGCCUGUGAAACUGUGAAUCUAGAGUAUGGGAGAGGGAAGUGGAAUUUCCGGUGUAGCGGUGAAAUGCGUAGAUAUCGGGAGGAACACCAGUGGCGAAGGCGACUUCCUGGACUAAUACUGACACUGAGGCGCGAAAGCGUGGGGAGCAAACAGG
rnacentral:rRNA from 1 species